rnacentral:rRNA from 1 species
CAGUAGCCGCGGUAAUACGUAGGUGGCAAGCGUUGUCCGGAAUUAUUGGGCGCAAAGGGCUCGCAGGCGGUUUCUUAAGUCUGAUGUGAAAGCCCCCGGCUCAACCGGGGAGGGUCAUUGGAAACUGGGAAACUUGAGUGCAGAAGAGGAGAGUGGAAUUCCACGUGUAGCGGUGAAAUGCGUAGAGAUGUGGAGGAACACCAGUGGCGAAGGCGACUCUCUGGUCUGUAACUGACACUGAGAGACGAAAGCUAGGGGAGCAAAUGGGAUUAGAUACCCCGGUAGUCCCUGUCUCUUAUAC